rnacentral:rRNA from 1 species
GGCGAACGCUGGCGGCGUGCCUAAUACAUGCCAGUAGAACGCUGAAGGAGGAGCUUGCUUCUCUGGAUGAGUUGCGAACGGGUGAGUAACGCGUAGGUAACCUGCCUGGUAGCGGGGGAUAACUAUUGGAAACGAUAGCUAAUACCGCAUAAUAGUAGAUGUUGCAUGACAUUUGCUUAAAAGGUGCAAUUGCAUCACUACCAGAUGGACCUGCGUUGUAUUAGCUAGUUGGUGGGGUAACGGCUCACCAAGGCGACGAUACAUAGCCGACCUGAGAGGGUGAUCGGCCACACUGGGACUGAGACACGGCCCAGACUCCUACGGGAGGCAGCAGUAGGGAAUCUUCGGCAAUGGACGGAAGUCUGACCGAGCAACGCCGCGUGAGUGAAGAAGGUUUUCGGAUCGUAAAGCUCUGUUGUAAGAGAAGAACGAGUGUGAGAGUGGAAAGUUCACACUGUGACGGUAUCUUACCAGAAAGGGACGGCUAACUACGUG